UGUCAUGACUUCUGAGCUGUUUGAAAGAGAAUGUUCUCAGAAUCAAGCCAUUUGGAAUGGACAGAAUGAAACAGAAGUCAAAGAGCUGUCUACACGUCCUUCCCAAGCUAUAAUUAAGAUGGAAGCUCAUUUGCCAUUCUGAGGAUUGGUGCAAUCAAGCAUAUGACAGCAAGAUUUUGGAACAUUUUUAUCAGUUUUGGAACCACAGCUCCUCCAUGGCCAAAUUUCUCUUUAUGUCUCAGGUUUCAGAGCAUGGCCUAAUAUUUCCCGUACAGACAGGCCGCUCCGCUGCCCUUCUGAUUCAGCUGACCACUGUGCACUGUAGCGACGUGCAAGGGGUAGGAGUGGACACAUUCCAGCUCGCUGGGGUUUGGAACGGCACCUCUCAUUCCCAGAGAAGGGAUUCUCUGUGGAGGCUGAGUUGGCAGUGCUCAAGCUUGCCUUGCGGUUGGCACGUAGGCCAUCAGCAAUCAUCUGAGUAUCAACCUGCCAAGCUGAGGCCGUCCUGGGGCACAGAGAUUUAUUGCUAACAGAGGAAAGAAAAGAAACCAUUUCCUUAAUUCUGCUUUGCAGGCCACUCUCAUGGAAAGGAACUCCCCUGCUGCCCUGAUCAGUUCAAUAUCUAACUCAUCAUGCCUGUGUUCUUCCCCAGCAGCUCAGGCCGGUCUGCUACCAGGAACAGGUGCCAAAUCAGAGUGUGGAAUUUUCCCAGCAGGCCCCAGGGUGUGUUGCUGCCAAGGCAACUGUGGUAGGGUUGGGGAAUAACUAGCGAACCACAAAUCCAGAAAAGGAAGAGGAGGCCUCCUUUUCGGCUUGGGCCAACUCAGAUGUGCCAGUAAAUAUGAAUUGGUUGGAUUUGACUUCUCAAUGAUACACAAUGAUUCUCUACCUGGACUAACACCACAGAGGAUGCCAUAGAAACUUCUGAGAUUUCGAUGAUAAAUAUAAAAAGUUGAAGCUUUGGGGAGCCCAAGCCAGGAAGCUGGAGGUCACCCAGCCAAAAUAAUCUACUCUGCCUGCCCAAGUGUGAAGCCUAGUGUGAAACCUACUCCAGAGGUGAAACCCCACCAAGAGAUGAAAACCACUUUGGGAAAUACCUUAUGUCUGAUAUUUUCUUCUUCAUUUUUUGAUAGGACUUUUUUUUUCCUGCUCAAAAGUGACUAUCUGGUAGUACAUUCCCAGAGGAUCCUGGCCAGGUAACAGAGAAGUCUGAAAGGCUACCUUGAGAUAAGGUACUAACAGCCUGUGGUAGCUUUAAUAGAAUAUUCUGGUUUAAAUAACAACCUUGAACAUCCAACUUAUUCAGAUUCAACAAACAUCUAUCGAGUAUUUACCCUCUGCAGAUAAGACAAGGCCAUGUAUUAGAUGUUUCCUCAUGUGUUAUAUCAUUUAGUGAUUACAACAAACAUCAAAGGUAGCAUCCCUACUUUACAAAGUAAAACACAGAUACUCAGAAAGGGUAAUUUAUUCACUGAAAGUCAAAGUGAGAUGAAUUCAAACAUAGGUCCUCUAACACCCAGGGCACAGACUGAUGAUGUUCAUGACCAGCUGAGUUUAUGAAAUCUCUUACGCUGUCUGUCCCUAAUCUGCCUAUACAUUAGCAAGGUGUAGAGAAGCACCAUGCUUCUGUCCAACAUAACAGGGUUAGAAGGUCACUUUUCUGCAUGUUUCUACAUUAUUUUCAAAACUGCCAUUCAUCUGCGUUUUCAAAUAAAUAUCAACAAAAUUA
rnacentral:lncRNA from 1 species